CGCAAAGGUCACCUCCUUUGGAGGGGCUGUGUUUAUUAGAUACAAAACCAACCCACUUUGUAGUGGAGUCUUGGUGAUUCAUAGUAACCGAACGGAUCGCAGUUGGUUCUUUUGGGCCCGCGAUGGAUCAUUCAAGUUUCUGACCUAUCAGCUUUCGACGGUAGGGUAUUGGCCUACCGUGGCAGUGACGGGUAACGGGGAAUUAGGGUUCGAUUCCGGAGAGGGAGCCUGAAAAACGGCUACCACAUCUAAGGAAGGCAGCAGGCGCGCAAAUUACCCAAUGAAAACAGCUUCGAGGUAGUGACGAGAAAUAACAAUACAGGGCAUUUUAUGCUUUGUAAUUGGAAUGAUGGGAAUGUAAAACCCUUCCAAAGUAACAAUUGGAGGGCAAGUCUGGUGCCAGCAGCCGCGGUAAUUCCAGCUCCAAUAGUGUAUAUUAAAGUUGUUGCAGUUAAAAAGCUCGUAGUUGGAUUUCUGUCGUGGUCAUCCGGCGUCGCCCGUAUGGGUGUGGGCCUGGCAUGCCCUCGGCUUAUUUCCGGUAGCCUUCCGCGCUUAAUUGCGUGUGUUGGUGUUCUGGAACUUUUACUUUGAGAAAAAUAGAGUGUUUCAAGCAGGCUUGUCGCCCUGAAUACUGCAGCAUGGAAUAAUAAGAUAGGACCUCGGUUCUAUUUUGUUGGUUUCUAGGACCAAGGUAAUGAUUAAUAGGGACAGUUGGGGGCAUUCGUAUUUAACUGUCAGAGGUGAAAUUCUUAGAUUUGUUAAAGACGAACUACUGCGAAAGCAUUUGCCAA
rnacentral:rRNA from 1 species